AGGGCCUCUCCACCGGUCCCUGGCUGAGGCCAGCGUGGAGGAAAUGAGGCUGGUGAAGACCCUAUUGACCGCUGGCUUUCUGUCCAUAUUUCAUUUAGCCCUUUCCCCAGAGGAGGAGGCCACAGAGACGAACCAUGUCAAGGCACAUAUGUUGGAGUGAGGUCAAGGUUCACUGUGGAGGAGGAGGAAGAGGAGGAGGAGUAGAGGCAGGACAAACUAGCGGAGGACGAGUAGAAAUGGGAUGGUGAGGAAGACCACAGGGAUAGCCAUCCCUGGAGACACGGAGCGCUGGACGGACAGUGACGUGAUGGCCCGUGCAGUCUGCUGUGUGUGCCGUGGUCGCAGAGUGCUCCCUCCACCUCUCUCACCCAGCGUGCAGUCUGCUGUGUGUGCCGUGGUCGCAGAGUGCUCCCUCCACCUCUCUCGCCCCCCCUCACCCAGCUUCCUCUCACACUCAUCUGGGGCUCCUGAGGCCUCAGACACACUUAAUGGGAUUAUGGUAAUAUCAUUUGGUUCCGCUGACCUGGGACCGGUGCCAGCUUUCUUCCACAUGGUCAGACAAAGGGAAGGAGCUCGACAUGGGACCCAGAGGACCAGCUGGCCCAGCCAGGUCGCCUGGCAGUCCACCCAGCCUGAUGCCCUCGUGGGGUGGCACAAGACAGGGCCAAAGUCCCACUUCCUGAAACACGCAGGAAGUCUCCGAGCGGAAUUUGACCGUUGACCGCGUUUAACCGGUUCAGUUACAGGUCUUAUGAUUCGACUUAUUUUGGCCUGACACACAGGAUGGCCAGCAACACAUAGGUCUGGAGGUAGCCAGCCUGCAGUCCGUGAACUCCCACAUCGCAAGGCAGACAACAAGCAGUCUUUACCUCCAGGGUGUCGUUACCAUGGACAUGGACAACCCCCGACUCACAGAUCCCACCCCCACCCUGGCCGCCCAGUACUGGCCUGUUAUGUGCCCAGGCUUUGAGGACGAGUCCAUCAGCUUGAUUUAGCAGGAGUUCCCUUCCCUGGCUGGCUGUGGGUUUUUUUUUUAGCCAGGGUUUAAUGGAGUGGGCUAUUGAGAAGGAACUCAGAGAGGGGGUCAAUUCAAACUGUACUUGUAAGCAGUCCAAACUGCUAGCGCUGGCUCCAUAGCUAUGGCCUGAAGGAUACAUGUUAACACUGGAGUACAAUGUGGACUGCACUAUGCUGUUGAGUGGGAUGUUAUGUGUGAUAUGAACAAGUCCAAAACAAUGACACACUGUAAGUAAGGUCAUAACUGGAUAAAUGUGUGAGGACAAAGUAGCGGCUGGAAUAAAAAAAAAAUACAAAACCGUU